UGGGGAAUCUUGCGCAAUGGGGGAAACCCUGACGCAGCGACGCCGCGUGAGUGAUGAAGGCCUUCGGGUCGUAAAGCUCUGUGGGGAGGGACGAAUAAGUAUUGGCUAACAUCCAAUAUGAUGACGGUACCUCCUUAGCAAGCACCGGCUAACUCUGUGCCAGCAGCCGCGGUAAGACAGAGGGGGGCAAGCGUUGUUCGGAAUUACUGGGCGUAAAGGGCUCGUAGGCGGCCAACUAAGUCAGACGUGAAAUCCCUCGGCUUAACCGGGGAACUGCGUCUGAUACUGGAUGGCUUGAAUCCGGGAGAGGGAUGUGGAAUUCCAGGUGUAGCGGUGAAAUGCGUAGAUAUCCGGAGGAACACCGGUGGCGAAGGCGACAUCCUGGACCAAUUCUGACGCUGAGGAGCGAAAGCCAGGGGAGCAAACGGGAUUAGAUACCCAAGUAGUCCCUGAG
rnacentral:rRNA from 1 species